AGGCACGCGCGCAGCAUCAUUUAAGGUCAAGUGCGUCGCGCCGGCAGGCAGACAAGUGAGGCUGCAGGCGUCGAGAGCGACGGGGAGAUGGGGUUCGUCGAAUCCACGGGGAGCGUCGGCAAGUACAGGUUCGGCCGGGCCGUCGGCGAGGGCACCUUCGCCAAGGUCAGGCUCGCCGCCGACGUCGAGACCGGCGGAACCGUCGCCGUGAAGGUCAUCGACAGGGAGACGGUGCUCAGGAACAACCUCAUGCACCAAGUGAAAAUGGAGAUACGCGCCAUGAAACUCCUCAAUCACCCCAACAUAGUCAGGAUACACGAGGUCAUCGCAACGAAGACGAAGAUAUGCCUGGUCAUGGAGUACGUUUCCGGAGGGCAGCUCUCUGACAAGCUGAGUUGCCUCAAGCGAUUGGAUGAGAGGGAAGCGAACAAGUACUUCUACCAGUUGAUCGAUGCUGUCGACUAUUGCCACAGGAGAGGCGUCUACCACAGAGACCUCAAGCCAGAGAACUUGUUGCUAGAUACCCGGGGCAACCUCAAAGUAUCUGAUUUUGGACUCAGUGCGCUAACGAAGCCAGGGCAGUUGCUAUCCACAUCCUGCGGCUCGCCUUGCUAUAUAGCUCCUGAGGUGAUUCUGCACAAGAGUUACGAUGGCGCGGCAGCGGACGUCUGGUCUUGUGGCGUGAUCCUCUUUGAACUGCUUGCUGGUUAUCUGCCGUUUCAGGACCGCAGCCUGACAAGCUUGUACAGAAGGAUCUCCAGGGCGCAAUUCACUUUCCCGGGAUGGUUCACUCCCCUUCAGAAGAAGCUCAUUUUGAGGAUUCUGGAACCAUCUCCUAUAAGGAGAGCAAAGAUAAGCGAUAUUUUCGAUGAUAAGUGGUUCCAAGGGGACUACAAUCCAUCACGAACUGAUGAUGACAAUGAUGGUUCUUCUGAUCUUGAAGAGGUUAGCACAGACAGUGAAAGCAGUCACGCUUCAGAGGUAAGGGAAGCCGCAGAACUGAAUCCGGAACCUGGGCGGUUCAUCAACGCGUUCCAACUGAUCGCAACUUGCUGUGAUCUCGACUUGUCAGGUCUCUUCCAAGAGCAGAAAACAAAGUUUGGCUCGUCGCAUACAUUGCAGGAAACACUGGAGAAGAUCAGAGUUGCAGCUCAGGAUGUGAGCUUGUCAAUGUGGAGAUUGGACAGCUCCAUGGUAACUAAACCACAUAACAUUUUCCCUAUCUUCGUUCCUGAAAGCCCUUUCCAGAUAACACAGUUCAAGAUUUGAAGCAGCAGCUAAGAUUAAGGCCCUGUUUGGCACAGCUCCACUCCACAACUCCAGCAACUCCAGCAAAAAAAAUAGCCAAAUACUCCAACUCCAAAACUCCAUGGAGCUGCCAACUCCAUGGAGCUGUAGUGCAAAUGGGGGUGGAGUUUUGGAGCACCUCUUUUGCUGCUCCAAAACUCUCUCUUUUGAACCUCCUCGUGGAGUUGGUGGGUAAUUACCCACCAAUGCCACUCGUUACAGAAAAAACGGUUCGUUUUCUUUUCUCCGAGCCCCCAUGUCGCGCCUCCCUCCCGCCGCCGUUGCUACUCGCGUGGACGCGCGCCUCCCUCAGCCAGCGCCGCCAGUCGCCUCGCCCUACCUCUCGCUUGUCGGGCGCGCCUGCUCCCCCGCCGGGCGCCCGCGCCGUGGCCCCGUCGGGCGCACCUCCACCGGCGGGCGGCCACGCCUCCCUCCACCGCCGGAGCAGGACGCCGGCCCCUCCCUCACAUCCGGCGGGCGGCCGCGCCACGGCCCCGUCGGGCACGCCUCCGUCGGCGGGCGGCCGUGCCGCCCUCAAGCCGCCGGCCGGCCGCUGCCUCCCUCCACCGCCGGACCAAGCCGCCGGCCCCUCCCUCACAUCCAGCAGGCAGCCGCGCCGUCACCCCGUCAGGCGCGCCUCCAUCGGCGGGCGGAUGGCCGCCCUCACGCCUCCGGCCGGCCGCUGCCUCCCUCCACUGCCGGACCAGGCCGCCGACCCCUCCCUCACAUCCGGCAGGCAGCCGCGCCGUGGCCCCGUCGGGCGCGCCUCCACCGGCGGGCGGCCGCGCCUCCCUCACGCCGCCGUCCGUCCGCUGCCUCACUACACCGUGCAAGGGAAUCAGAGAAGGGGAUGGGGCGCUGAUCUGCUUGCUCUGCUCGAGCAAGGGAGGAGCAGAGAUCUGCUUGCUCUGCUCGAGCAAGGGAGGAGCAGAGGACCGGAAAUGUCUUGGCCUCCAUGGAUUUGUGCUGCUGGUGGUUGACGUGUGAGAGAUAGAGAUUAGAUAGGAAGGGGAGACUGAUUGGAGUAGCUGGUGCCCUGGUUGUUGGAUUCGAUGGCAGAUCAGGGAGAUCAAGUCUGCAGGUGAGCUGCUUGCUUGCUCCUGCGAGGCGACGGGAGCGCCGGGGCAAGGAAAAAAAGAGGAGGGAACGGUGUGUCGUGGUUGCCGAGCAGCCUUUCUGAGGAAGAAGGAGAUGGGGAUGGAGAGAAUGACAAGUGGGACCUAAAUUGGGGGGUGAAGCUUCAGGACAGCAGACUGCUUGAAAGGAGCAUACCUGAUCUGACUCUUCUGGCUGAGGUGAUCGAGGUGACUCCGGUACACUGCAUUGUCGAAGUGUCCAAGUCCACUGGGGAUCUGAGAGCAUAUAGAGAG